CUACGGGGGGCACCAGUGGGGAAUAUUGGACAAUGGGGGAAACCCUGAUCCAGCAAUGCCGCGUGUGUGAAGAAGGCCUGCGGGUUGUAAAGCACUUUCGGUUGGGAGGACUGCUUCUAGCACUAAUAUUGUUGGAAGUUGACGUUACCUUCAGAAGAAGCACCGGCUAACUCCGUGCCAGCAGCCACGGUAAUACGGAGGGUGCAAGCGGUAAUCGGAAUUACUGGGCGUAAAGCGCGCGUAGGCGGCUAGAUCAGUCGGGUGUGAAAGCCCCGGGCUUAACCUGGGAACUGCAUCCGAUACUGUCUAGAUAGAGUACAGGAGAGGAGAGUGGAAUUCCACAUGUAGCGGUGAAAUGCGUAGAUAUGUGGAGGAACACCAAUGGCGAAGGCAGCUCUCUGGCCUGAUACUGACGCUGAGGUGCGAAAGCGUGGGGAGCAAACAGGAUUAGAUACCCCAGUAGUC
rnacentral:rRNA from 1 species